rnacentral:rRNA from 1 species
GAUGAACGCUGGCGGCGUGCCUAAUACAUGCAAGUCGAGCGAAUGGAUUAAGAGCUUGCUCUUAUGAAGUUAGCGGCGGACGGGUGAGUAACACGUGGGUAACCUGCCCAUAAGACUGGGAUAACUCCGGGAAACCGGGGCUAAUACCGGAUAACAUUUUGAACCGCAUGGUUCGAAAUUGAAAGGCGGCUUCGGCUGUCACUUAUGGAUGGACCCGCGUCGCAUUAGCUAGUUGGUGAGGCAACGGCUCACCAAGGCAACGAUGCGUAGCCGACCUGAGAGGGUGAUCGGCCACACUGGGACUGAGACACGGCCCAGACUCCUACGGGAGGCAGCAGUAGGGAAUCUUCCGCAAUGGACGAAAGUCUGACGGAGCAACGCCGCGUGAGUGAUGAAGGCUUUCGGGUCGUAAAACUCUGUUGUUAGGGAAGAACAAGUGCUAGUUGAAUAAGCUGGCACCUUGACGGUACCUAACCAGAAAGCCACGGCUAGCUACGUGCCAGCCGCCGCUGUAA